rfam:Triticum aestivum genome assembly, contig: Triticum_aestivum_CS42_TGACv1_scaffold_433126_5DL
UGAAUACUCCCUCCGUCCGGAAAUACUUGUCGGAGGAAUGGAUGUAUCUAGACAUAUUUUAGUUGUAGGUACAUCCAUUUUUAUGCAUUUAAAAAUGGAUGUACCUACAACUAAAAUAUGUCUAGAUACAUCCAUUCCUCCGACAAGUAUUUCCGGACGGAGGGAGUAAAUC